rnacentral:lncRNA from 1 species
UAUCCUUCUUAUCAUACUAUCAUGGGUAAAUGAACCGGAAAGUCCGUCAUGAGAUUAAUAGAAUUAAACAUAAGAGAAUACUCGACAUAGGACGACCCAACAUGAUAUACCAACUUAUACAUAUGACAUACGGGCCUAUAAGGCCGACAUAAUCCUUUGUAUACUCAAAACAUAGGCCGAUAAGGCCAUACAAGUAUCCAUAUACAUUACAUCUGUCUACAAGCCUAUACGAGUACAUAAAUAUCAUAAAGUUCGAGAUAUGGCCCCGCCAUACCAAUCAAUACAUGUCCAAAUCAUACUGACCAGAUAGGUAACUCCGGAUCAAGUGGAGUGAACCAACACCUUUCGCUGAGUUGAUAGCCUACUAGGAGGACUCUCAACCUGUCUAUCAGUACCUGCGGGCAUGAAACGCAAUGUCCCCAGGCAAAAGGGACGUCAGUACAAAUAAAGUACCGAGUAUGUAAGGCAUGACAGUAGUAUAUAAAAGACAUGAAAGAAACAUAGAGUAAAGAACUCAACCUGCAAUUUUGAAUAGCUAUGUGAAUCAUGAAAAAUUUAUAAUGUUAUGCAUAUGCGUAUAAAUUCCAUACCAUGCAUAGGUAUAUGCGUACAUAACAUCAUCAAGCCUCUGAUGGAAUCCCAUCAUAUCAUCUCAGCCACUGUGGGUGAAAUCAUCAACGUAUACCAGCUGAUCAGGUGGUGGUGUAUAUAUAAUGCCAGAAUCUUUUCCCAUAUCCCAAUACAUAUAAUAUACGCGUAUAUAACGCCACCUGGUCAUGUGUCAAUGUACAUGUAUAAAUGAAUGCAAUGUAUAAUGAAGUAAGUCAGUAAGAUUUCUCGGAAUGUCAUAAGAUCAAUAUGCCUUCGGAUAAACUUUAGCAACUUACGUAUUUUUCUGAUACCCAUGAACAGAAGAUAUAACAAUAGGACACAUGGGGAAUCAAGAACAUAUGCACCCUAGUACUUCUAUGAAUAAAGUCAUUUAUGAAAGUUGCGUGCUUGCUCAUUUCGUUGCAUCAUAUGGAUCAUGCCAAAAGGAAAGAAGGGAUAGUCUUAACAUACCUUUGCAAUCUUCUCUCCAAUCGCCCACCAAGCUCAAUAUGAUCUUCUUACAUCUAUAAUGAGUAACCCGACUUCGUCGUCAUCACAUAAGCAUUGUAACUCUCAUAUUUCAAAAUCAAUAUUCUACAAGAAAACGGACAGCACAUCUCUUAUAUUUACUACAUCCCAUAAGUUACUAAAAGUCACCAAACAACCCAAACAACAACAAUAUAAUUCACAAUAAGCUCUCUGAUUACUUCAACAACCAUUUUGAGCGGCAAACUCGAUUUACAAUUAAAAAAAUAUAAUUUAAUCCAAUUCCCUUUUCAUGAAUCUGCCUACAACUUAUAUAACAUCAUACUUAUGCUUACCAUAUUAUUUUCAUCCCAAAAUAUCAUAAGAAUAAUCUUCNN